GACGAACGCUGGCGGCGUGCUUAACACAUGCAAGUCGAACGAGAGGAGAAGGAAGCUUGCUUCUUUCAGAUCUAGUGGCAAACGGGUGAGUAACACGUAAACAACCUGCCUUCAGGAUGGGGACAACAGACGGAAACGACUGCUAAUACCGAAUACGUUCCUUAGGUCGCAUGACUUUAGGAAGAAAGGGUGGCCUCUACUUGUAAGCUAUCGCCUGAAGAGGGGUUUGCGUCUGAUUAGGUAGUUGGUGAGGUAACGGCCCACCAAGCCGACGAUCAGUAGCCGGUCUGAGAGGAUGAACGGCCACACUGGAACUGAGACACGGUCCAGACUCCUACGGGAGGCAGCAGUGGGGAAUAUUGCACAAUGGAGGAAACUCUGAUGCAGCGACGCCGCGUGAGCGAUGAAGUAUUCGGUAUGUAAAGCUCUAUCAGCAGGGAAGAUAAUGACGGUACCUGACUAAGAAGCUACCGGCUAAAUACGUGCCAGCA
rnacentral:rRNA from 1 species